AUCCGGAGGGUGCAAGCGUUAUUCGGAAUCACUGGGCGUAAAGGACGCGUAGGCGGGUUGGCAAGUCAGAUGUGGAAUCCUACAGCUUAACUGUAGAACUGCAUUUGAAACUGCUAACCUAGAGUAUGGGAGGGGGAGAUGGAAUUAGUGGUGUAGGGGUAAAAUCCGUAGAUAUCACUAGGAAUACCGAAAGCGAAGGCGAUCUCCUGGAACAUAACUGACGCUAAGGCGUGAAAGCGUGGGGAGCAAACAGGAUUAGAAACCCUAGUAGUCC
rnacentral:rRNA from 1 species